rnacentral:misc_RNA from 1 species
GAUGAAGAACGCAGCGAAAUGCGAUAAGUAAUGUGAAUUGCAGAAUUCAGUGAAUCAUCGAAUCUUUGAACGCACAUUGCGCCCCCUGGUAUUCCGGGGGGCAUGCCUGUCCGAGCGUCAUUACAACCCUCAAGCUCAGCUUGGUGUUGGGCCCCGCCGCCCCGGCGGGCCCUAAAGUCAGUGGCGGUGCCGUCCGGCUCCGAGCGUAGUAAUUCUUCUCGCUCUGGAGGUCCGGUCGUGUGCUCGCCAGCACCCCCCAAUUUUUUUCAGGUUGACCUCGGAUCAGGUAGGGAUACCCGCUGAACUUAAGCAUAUCAAUAAGCGGAGGA